rnacentral:rRNA from 1 species
CCGGCGACCGGCGGACGGGUGCGUAACGCGUAUGUAACCUACCUUUGACAGGGGGAUAACAUCGAGAAAUUGAUACUAAUACCCCAUAACAUCACCGGAGGCAUCUUCGGUGGUUGAAAACUCAGGUGGUCAGAGAUGGACAUGCGUUGUAUUAGCUAGUUGGUGAGGUAACGGCUCACCAAGGCGACGAUACAUAGGGGGACUGAGAGGUCAACCCCCCACAUUGGUACUGAGACACGGACCAAACUCCUACGGAAGGCAGCAG